CAUGAAGACGCUAGUGUGUGCUCUUAUUGUGGUGCUUCUCUGCAGUGCCUCAGUGCACUCGCUGACAUGCUACACCUGUGUGGAUGGGGACUGCAAGACCCCAACUCAAUGCCCAGCCUCAAGCAACUUCUGCAAAACAGUUUCAACAGCCACUGUGUUCAGCCGGACAUGUGAGGAGUUCUGUGUUCCAGGAGUGAACGUCUACUGCUGCACUUCUGAUCUGUGUGACUGAUCUCUCAACGUCAUCGAGUCAUCGAAUCAGUCACUAAUGUUCACUGUAAUAGCAUAGCACAAAAAAUAUCCCUGGGUUACUCUAGGUGUUUAAUUUCUCUAAUGACCUUUUCCCAACUGAAUCAACAUGGUUUGCUUUAUAUAGCACUGCUUAAAGGAAUGCCUAAUAAGCUUGGUUUCUGUCCCAGCUCUGUAU
rnacentral:lncRNA from 1 species